rnacentral:misc_RNA from 1 species
CCAGAAAGAAGCAAUUUCAUGGGGAGGGGGCACUGAUGUUCCUCCCUGUAUUAUUCGGUAUGCUAAUCGCUAUAUUGUUGGAAGAUUGGAGCUAGAUCCUUCCAAUUCUGGAUACAACGUCGACAACCUGCCAUCGAAUAUUGGACAGUUUGAUGAAAUCUGGAGCAGUUUGAUGGAACGAGUUGGAACAAAAGCUUCCAUGGGCUCAUCAAAGAUAAAGUUCGCAACUGGAGAAGCCAAUUACACAACACUUCAAACCAUAUAUGUAAUGAUGCAGUGUACACCUGAUCUCUCCCAAAGUAAUUGUAGUUAUUGCCUGCAGCAAGCUGUGGGUGACUAUAGAGCUUGUUGCCUUGGAAAGAGAGGAGGUUAUGUUCUCAAACCAAGCUGCUGGUUCCGGUGGGAUCUAUACCCCUUCUACGAAUCCACUGCUGCUGAUGCUCCACAGGCAUCUCUUCCACCUCCACCUACAACAACAGUUGCAAAAGGUAAAAGAGGUAUUCAGUCUGGCACUUUCGUGAUUACCGUUGUUCCUGUGGUCAGCUUUCUGUUGCUUGUUGCAUUCAUGUACAUCCUUUUCAGGAGAAGGAAACCAAGGCAGCGGAGGGAAAAUGUCUGUGAAGGAAAUGAUGAAAGUACUGCUGAAUCCUUGCAAUUCGACAUUGAGGCUAUAAGGGUAGCAACAAAUAAUUUCUCUGAUGAUAAUAAGCUUGGAGAAGGUGGAUUUGGCACUGUUUAUAAGGGUAGACUUCCUGAUGGACCAGCUAUCGCUGUGAAGAGGUGGUCAAGAAAUUCUACACAAGGAGAAGUUGAAUUUAAAAAUGAGGUCCUAUUAGUGGCCAUGCUUCAACACAGGAACUUGGCUAGGCUCCUAGGUUUCUGCUUGCAGGAAAGCGAAAAGCUUCUCAUCUAUGAGUUU